rnacentral:rRNA from 1 species
GACGAACGCUGGCGGCGUGCUUAACACAUGCAAGUCGAACGGAAAGGCCCUGCUUUUGUGGGGUGCUCGAGUGGCGAACGGGUGAGUAACACGUGAGUAACCUGCCCUUGACUUUGGGAUAACUUCAGGAAACUGGGGCUAAUACCGGAUAGGAGCUCCUGCUGCAUGGUGGGGGUUGGAAAGUUUCGGCGGUUGGGGAUGGACUCGCGGCUUAUCAGCUUGUUGGUGGGGUAGUGGCUUACCAAGGCUUUGACGGGUAGCCGGCCUGAGAGGGUGACCGGCCACAUUGGGACUGAGAUGCGGCCCAGACUCCUACGGGAGGCAGCAGUGGGGAAUAUUGCACAAUGGGCGGAAGCCUGAUGCAGCAACGCCGCGUGCGGGAUGACGGCCUUCGGGUUGUAGACCGCUUUCGCCUGUGACGAAGCGUGAGUGACGGUAAUGGGUAAAGAAGCACCGGCUAACUACGUG